rnacentral:tRNA from 1 species
GUUUCUGUAGCUCAGCAGGAUAGAGCGUCCGCCUCCUAAGCGGCAGUUCGUUCGAGUCCGUGGGCG